rnacentral:tRNA from 1 species
GUCGUAGCUCAGUCGGUAGAGCAACUGUCUCGUAAUCAGUAGGUCGGGAGUUCGAUUCUCUUCGACGG